UACGUAGGGACCAAGCGUUGUUCGGAUUUACUGGGCGUAAAGGGCGCGUAGGCGGCAAAUCAAGUCAUCUGUGAAAUCUCCGGGCUUAACUCGGAACGGUCAGAUGAUACUGCUUUGCUAGAGUGCGGAAGGGGCAAUCGGAAUUCUCGGUGUAGCGGUGAAAUGCGUAGAUAUCGAGAGGAACACCAGAGGUGAAGACGGGUUGCUGGGCCGACACUGACGCUGGAGGCGACGAAAGCCAGGGGAGCAAACGGG
rnacentral:rRNA from 1 species